GGACAAACCAAUCAGUCAUCUGUAAGCUACCUUGAGCUGAGAACCAACUUGCCAUUUCUGAUUACCGGCUUCAGAAAGUGAAAACUCGAUACAGUUCAUUUAGGCGUUUCUAUCUGCUUCCGAUAAUCGUAUCUUAUCACGGUUGAUUUGCUUAUCCUGGCACUUCGAAGACGAAGCAGAUUUUCUGGCAAAUCAAGUGGAAACAAAGAGGAAAAUUGUUCUGGGAAACCAUCGCGAACAAAUGUCGACUUUUGCUCGGGGGGAAAAAGAAAGUUGAAAAUUAGAAAAAUCAAAGCUUACAAUUUAUUGCAAGAAUCGACCCCCUCCCCUCUCCAUUCAACAUUUAAAAAUUGAUCGCAAAGCUCCCCCAAUUAAGGUGUGCUAAAGUGUUUGUGCGAUAUCCGAGAAGAAACGAGGUGUCAUAAUAUCGGCGGCAACAGAUCAUUUUGGCAGCCGAUGAACAAAGAAUGGUGAUGAAGCUGAGAAUGGGAAGAGAAGCCGGAACAGAAAACGGAUAUGGGACAGGAAGCACCAGUUGCCGAAUGUCGCUGAUUAUGGUUGUCGUCAUUGGAGUCGGAUUAACAGGAAAAGUUUCGGCAUCGGCGUUACCGGAACUGGGCGGCGAGGGGGAUGAAAUAUCGCCAUCCCAGGAGUAUUUCGAUGCCGUGCCGGAAGAAGAUCGUGAAGCGUUCUUGAAAUACCACCUCGACAAAGCCCUGGAAGAACGAAUUGAUGGCCACAUUAGCAUAACACCUGCCGAUUUUACCCUCAACAUGUACUAUGGAAUCAUACCAGAGCCUUACAAUUUUUCGUGCAACCUAUUGGAUUUCAUACUGGGACUAUACGGAAUCACCUAUCAGGAUAUACUGGACUUUGUAAGAAGAGACGUUGUCUGCUUUCCAUCCGGGACGUGCAUCGACGUGGGUGAUGUCGGAAACACGUGUUGCCCGUUUUGAGUGCUCGAGAUAAGAAAUAAUUAGCCUGGUGGUAGAUAGACUUUUUAAGCAGGUAUUAUGAGCCGAAGAUUUCACUUUCUCCUUGUUUACAGACAAAUAAUUGUCUUCUACUAACAAAAAGAUUGAUCGACUCCACUUUACAAGCCACAGUUUAGUUUAAUAUUGAAAAGGUCUGCAGUUCUUUUCAAAUUCUAGUACCUAUCACAUUAUUUGGAAAUUCAAUAAAAAGUGUGAAGAACAUCUUCGAUUUGAAAAAAUAAACUGUAGUGUGUAUUGGAAUCCUACCCAUAGAAAGAACGACUUCAAUUAAAAUAUGUGGGAGUUAUAUGGAAGCCAGAGAUCAAAGCGGCCAUUGAGCGAGAAAAAAAAUCAUAACUUCUUAAAUAAUUACAACAAGAAUUUUAACUCCAAAGAAUACCACGAGAAAAGGAAUCUGUACGGACGAAGGAUUCCGUUGUUAGUGUCCCACGAAUUGGGUCCCAAACGGCUAACGAAUUCCGGGGUAGCAGCAACAACUUUGGUCAUCAAGUUGACCAGCGAUGGCGGAGCGAAUCAAAGGCCGAGAACAAAACGAAAUUUUCGGUGGCAAAACACGUCUGAUGCUCGCGAGUUAGGUUUAGAAAGUGAGCUUUAUUGAAGUAAAUAAAUACAUGUCACUUACAAGCUAGAGUUUGAAU